rnacentral:lncRNA from 1 species
AGUUGUUUAAUAUUUGAUGGUAACAUUCUACUAAGUAUAGGGCAGCAACUUGAUAUAAUUAAGUGGUACAACCUUUGCUUGACCUCGCUAUUUCUUUAAUUCCUUGAAUCUGAAGUCUAUAAAAGUCUGAAACUUUCCAGAUUUAGUUCCUCUGCCCAGUGUUCAUUGAUUGUUUUUAAGAGAUUACAUGCAAUUGAACGCUUUGGGUACAUGAGCUUCUUAUUUCACAAGUAAAAUCUAUUGUGGUAGGAUCAUGACCUGUACUAAGAUUUUUGGGUUAUAAACAAUUUAGUAAAUAUUUUAAUUAAAAGUUGACAGUUUUUCGAGUCUAUAUCUGUGUUUAAAUGGCGCUCGCGUUUUGCGUCAUGGCGCGAGGCGCACUCAGGCGAUGGCUCUGUCGCCAUGUACCACCUAGGCGAGGGUGGGUUCCCUAAGGCGCGCGCCAUGGGUGCCUUGUCGAGAAGGCGAUCAUGGCGAAGGCGAGCGUAAGGCGAGAUUAAUGUAAACCGUAUCUAAACCAUGUAAGCCUUAAUUAGUAAUUAAACCUUAGACUUUAAAAAAACUUAACCGGGGAAACUUAAACGCCGAACCCUAGCUUUAUAAAAGAGAAGUUACGUAAAACAUAAAUAUAGAUCUCAAGGUUUUUGCUUAAGGUUAGAACUCUCUAGUAUAAUAAAGCUUACAUCUUAUUUAAAUUUAGUAUAUCAAUCAUUGCGUAAGUGUUCUCUAAAUUUCUUCUCCGAUACAAAACAAGACGUAACUAAAAUGUUCUUCAAGUCGAGCGCCAUAUUACGUCAUGGCGCGAGGCGCAAGGCUCGGCACGUCUCGCCUUGGUGCGCCAUGCGCCAUUUUAAACACAGGUCUAUAUUUAUAUAAAUUUACCUUUUAAAUUUCGGGAAUCUUUUUUUUUCUUUUUUUGAACAACAAAUUUCGGGAAUCUAAGUCAAUGUUUCACUUGUCUAUUCACAUGUGGUAGGAUUGACGUUGUUCCAUGGAGAAAUGACAAUUGACACAGUAAGUAUUACAAACUCUGUUUUGCGUUUGCCAAUUCUUACGUAAGUGUGUUGUUUAGUUUGUAAUACUUACUGUGUUUUCUUUAGACGUGG